AGUGAACGCUGGCGGUAGGCCUAACACAUGCAAGUCGAACGGCAGCACAGUAAGAGCUUGCUCUUACGGGUGGCGAGUGGCGGACGGGUGAGGAAUACAUCGGAAUCUACUUUUUCGUGGGGGAUAACGUAGGGAAACUUACGCUAAUACCGCAUACGACCUACGGGUGAAAGCAGGGGAUCUUCGGACCUUGCGCGAUUGAAUGAGCCGAUGUCGGAUUAGCCAGUUGGCGGGGUAAAGGCCCACCAAGGCGACGAUCCGUAGCUGGUCUGAGAGGAUGAUCAGCCACACUGGAACUGAGACACGGUCCAGACUCCUACGGGAGGCAGCAGUGGGGAAUAUUGGACAAUGGGCGCAAGCCUGAUCCAGCCAUACCGCGUGGGUGAAGAAGGCCUUCGGGCUGUAAAGCCCUUUUGUUGGGAAAGAAAAGCAGCAGGUUAAUACCCCGCUGUUCUGACGGUACCCAAAGAAUAAGCACCGGCUAACUUCGUG
rnacentral:rRNA from 1 species